GGUUAAGCGACUAAGCGUACACGGUGGAUGCCCUGGCAGUCAGAGGCGAUGAAGGACGUGCUAAUCUGCGAAAAGCGUCGGUAAGGUGAUAUGAACCGUUACAGCCGGCGAUGUCCGAAUGGGGAAACCCAGUGCAAUUCGUUGCACUAUCGUUAACUGAAUACAUAGGUUAACGAGGCGAACCGGGGGAACUGAAACAUCUAAGUACCCCGAGGAAAAGAAAUCAACCGAGAUUCCCCCAGUAGCGGCGAGCGAACGGGGAGCAGCCCAGAGUCUGAAUCAGCUUGUGUGUUAGUGGAACGGUCUGGAAAGUCCGACGGUACAGGGUGAUAGUCCCGUACACCAAAAUGCACAGGUUGUGAACUCGAAGAGUAGGGCGGGACACGUGGUAUCCUGUCUGAAUAUGGGGGGACCAUCCUCCAAGGCUAAAUACUCCUGACUGACCGAUAGUGAACCAGUACCGUGAGGGAAAGGCGAAAAGAACCCCGGCGAGGGGAGUGAAAAAGAACCUGAAACCGUGUACGUACAAGCAGUGGGAGCACCUUUAUGGUGUGACUGCGUACCUUUUGUAUAAUGGGUCAGCGACUUAUAUUCUGUAGCAAGGUUAACCGUAUAGGGGAGCCGCAGGGAAACCGAGUCUUAACUGGGCGUUAAGUUGCAGGGUAUAGACCCGAAACCCGGUGAUCUAGCCAUGGGCAGGUUGAAGGUUGGGUAACACUAACUGGAGGACCGAACCGACUAAUGUUGAAAAAUUAGCGGAUGACUUGUGGCUGGGGGUGAAAGGCCAAUCAAACCGGGAGAUAGCUGGUUCUCCCCGAAAGCUAUUUAGGUAGCGCCUCGUGAACUCAUCUUCGGGGGUAGAGCACUGUUUCGGCUAGGGGGUCAUCCCGACUUACCAACCCGAUGCAAACUACGAAUACCGAAGAAUGUUAUCACGGGAGACACACGGCGGGUGCUAACGUCCGUCGUGAAGAGGGAAACAACCCAGACCGCCAGCUAAGGUCCCAAAGUCAUGGUUAAGUGGGAAACGAUGUGGGAAGGCACAGACAGCCAGGAUGUUGGCUUAGAAGCAGCCAUCAUUUAAAGAAAGCGUAAUAGCUCACUGGUCGAGUCGGCCUGCGCGGAAGAUGUAACGGGGCUAAACCAUGCACCGAAGCUGCGGCAGCGACACUAUGUGUUGUUGGGUAGGGGAGCGUUCUGUAAGCCUGCGAAGGUGACCUGUGAGGGUUGCUGGAGGUAUCAGAAGUGCGAAUGCUGACAUAAGUAACGAUAAAGCGGGUGAAAAGCCCGCUCGCCGGAAGACCAAGGGUUCCUGUCCAACGUUAAUCGGGGCAGGGUGAGUCGACCCCUAAGGCGAGGCCGAAAGGCGUAGUCGAUGGGAAACAGGUUAAUAUUCCUGUACUUGGUGUUACUGCGAAGGGGGGACGGAGAAGGCUAUGUUAGCCGGGCGACGGUUGUCCCGGUUUAAGCAUGUAGGCUGAUUAUCCAGGCAAAUCCGGAUAAUCAAGGCUGAGGUGUGAUGACGAGGCACUACGGUGCUGAAGUAACAAAUGCCCUGCUUCCAGGAAAAGCCUCUAAGCAUCAGGUAACAUCAAAUCGUACCCCAAACCGACACAGGUGGUCAGGUAGAGAAUACCAAGGCGCUUGAGAGAACUCGGGUGAAGGAACUAGGCAAAAUGGUGCCGUAACUUCGGGAGAAGGCACGCUGGUGUGUAGGUGAAGUCCCUGCGGAUGGAGCUGAGACCAGUCGAAGAUACCAGCUGGCUGCAACUGUUUAUUAAAAACACAGCACUGUGCAAACACGAAAGUGGACGUAUACGGUGUGACGCCUGCCCGGUGCCGGAAGGUUAAUUGAUGGGGUUAUCCGUAAGGAGAAGCUCUUGAUCGAAGCCCCGGUAAACGGCGGCCGUAACUAUAACGGUCCUAAGGUAGCGAAAUUCCUUGUCGGGUAAGUUCCGACCUGCACGAAUGGCGUAAUGAUGGCCAGGCUGUCUCCACCCGAGACUCAGUGAAAUUGAACUCGCUGUGAAGAUGCAGUGUACCCGCGGCAAGACGGAAAGACCCCGUGAACCUUUACUAUAGCUUGACACUGAACAUUGAGCCUUGAUGUGUAGGAUAGGUGGGAGGCUUUGAAGCGUGGACGCCAGUCUGCGUGGAGCCAACCUUGAAAUACCACCCUUUAAUGUUUGAUGUUCUAACGUUGGCCCCUGACCGGGGUUGCGGACAGUGUCUGGUGGGUAGUUUGACUGGGGCGGUCUCCUCCCAAAGCGUAACGGAGGAGCACGAAGGUUAGCUAAUCCUGGUCGGACAUCAGGAGGUUAGUGCAAUGGCAUAAGCUAGCUUGACUGCGAGCGUGACGGCGCGAGCAGGUGCGAAAGCAGGUCAUAGUGAUCCGGUGGUUCUGAAUGGAAGGGCCAUCGCUCAACGGAUAAAAGGUACUCCGGGGAUAACAGGCUGAUACCGCCCAAGAGUUCAUAUCGACGGCGGUGUUUGGCACCUCGAUGUCGGCUCAUCACAUCCUGGGGCUGAAGUAGGUCCCAAGGGUAUGGCUGUUCGCCAUUUAAAGUGGUACGCGAGCUGGGUUUAGAACGUCGUGAGACAGUUCGGUCCCUAUCUGCCGUGGGCGCUGGAGAAUUGAGGGGGGCUGCUCCUAGUACGAGAGGACCGGAGUGGACGCAUCACUGGUGUUCGGGUUGUCAUGCCAAUGGCACUGCCCGGUAGCUAAAUGCGGAAGAGAUAAGUGCUGAAAGCAUCUAAGCACGAAACUUGCCCCGAGAUGAGUUCUCCCUGAGACUUUAAGUCUCCUGAAGGAACGUUAAAGACGAUGACGUUGAUAGGCCGGGUGUGUAAGCGCAGCGAUGCGUUGAGCUAACCGGUACUAAUGAACCGUGAGGCUUAACCUU
rnacentral:rRNA from 1 species